rnacentral:tRNA from 1 species
UUACUAAUAGGUUAUGUAAACUGGUAGAUUGUGGUUCUAUUGAAUACUUAUUAAUUUGAUAGUAUUAGUAAA